rnacentral:rRNA from 1 species
UGACCCGAUACAUAUGUCGUCUGACCUCAAAUCAGGUAGGAUUACCCGCCGAACUUAAGCAUAUCAAUAAGCGGAGGAAAAGAAACUAACGAGGAUUCCCCUAGUAACGGCGAGUGAAGCGGGAAGAGCUCAAAUUUGUAAUCUGGCGGUCUAUGGCCGUCCGAGUUGUAGUCUGGAGAAGCGUUAUCUGCGUCGGACCGUGUACAAGUCCCUUGGAACAGGGCGUCACAGAGGGUGAGAAUCCCGUCUUUGACACGGACUGCCGGCGCUUUGUGAUGCGCUCUCGAAGAGUCGAGUUGUUUGGGAAUGCAGCUCAAAUCGGGUGGUAAAUUCCAUCUAAAGCUAAAUAUGGGCGAAAGACCGAUAGCGAACAAGUACCGUGAGGGAAAGAUGAAAAGCACUUUGGAAAGAGAGUUAAACAGUACGUGAAAUUGUUGAAAGGGAAACGCUUGAAGUCAGUCGCGUCUUUCCGAGACUCAGCCUUGCGUUUGCUCGGUGUAUUUCUCGGAGAGAUGGGCCAGCGUCGAUUUUGACCGUCGGAGAAAGGCUUUGGGGAACGUGGCACCCUCUCGGGUGUGUUAUAGCCCUGGGUCGUAUGCGACGGUUGGGAUCGAGGAUCGCAGCACGCCUUUUCUGGCCGGGGUUCGCCCACGUAACGUGCUUAGGAUGCUGGCGUAAUGGCUUUAAGCGACCCGUCUUGAAACACGGACCAAGGAGUCUAACAUGCUUGCGAGUGUUUGGGUGUUAAAACCCGGACGCGGAAUGAAAGUGAAAGGUUGGGACCUCUGUCGUGGAGGGCACCGACGCCCGGACCAGACCUUCUGUGACGGUUCCGAGGUAGAGCACGUAUGUUGGGACCCGAAAGAUGGUGAACUAUGCCUGAGUAGGGUGAAGCCAGAGGAAACUCUGGUGGAGGCUCGUAGCGAUUCUGACGUGCAAAUCGAUCGUCGAACUUGGGUAUAGGGGCGAAAGACUAAUCGAACC